UUGCGCAGUGAUGACUUGAAUUUCUUCACCUGACACAUAGUGAUGCUUUAUGAGCUUUUUAACCCUGAGCAAA
ensembl:snoRNA SNORD36 Small nucleolar RNA SNORD36